GUCCACGCCGUAAACGAUGGGCACUAGGUGUUCGGGGUAUUGACCCCCUGAGUGCCGCAGCUAACGCAUUAAGUGCCCCGCCUGGGGACUACGGCCGCAAGGCUAAAACUCAAAGGAAUUGACGGGGGCCCGCACAAGCGGUGGAGCAUGUGGUUUAAUUCGACGCAACGCGAAGAACCUUACCUGGGCUAGACAACAUCGGACAGCCCCAGAAAUGGGGUUUCCCCGCAAGGGGCCGGUGGUUCAGGUGCUGCAUGGCUGUCGU
rnacentral:rRNA from 1 species